rnacentral:lncRNA from 1 species
CACCACCAACAUCAACCACCUGCUUGAGGUUCUCAAAACCACUGUAGGACUCCAGUAUCUUCUUAAAGACUAGAGUGGUGUGGUUGAACAUUGCUGUGUUGUAAACUUGACUAAACCUGGCAUCUCUAGCAGAGUACUUAAACAAAUGUGUACCAGAGUACUCAGACAAAGGUUUCCGGUGGGCCCUGUCAAAUGGAGUUCCUCCCUCAAGAAUUGCAUCCUUCAGAUGUGACCUGUAAGCCGAGAGUUAGCUGCAUAUUCUAGUUAUGGGAAAAACUAGAAGGGUCAAGGUCACUGUGCCUACUAUAAGUCCUCGCGAAGUAGAAACACAUAAAACAGAAAUAUAGAAUAUAAGGCAUAUACAUCAAGAUCAGAAUAUUCGAAGACAGAAACAAAAUAGUUCUUCCCAGUUGGCUUUAAUAUCAUUUUUGAACACCAUGGGCUCACAACAAACGGUUUAAAUUUGCUGAAGCUGUUUUCGGAGUCGCUAGGUUUGUAAUUCAAUACUAAGAAAAAAAGGUUCCCAUUUGAUAAAUUUAAAAAACACUAGAUUAAUAAAACAAACAAUGAAAGGCAAACCAG